UACGUAGGGUGCGAGCGUUAAUCGGAAUUACUGGGCGUAAAGCGUGCGCAGGCGGUGAGUUAAGUCUGAUGUGAAAGCCCCGGGCUCAACCUGGGAAUGGCAUUGGAAACUGGCUCGCUGGAGUGUGGCAGAGGGGGGUGGAAUUCCGCGUGUAGCAGUGAAAUGCGUAGAGAUGCGGAGGAACACCGAUGGCGAAGGUAGCCCCCUGGGCCAACACUGACGCUCAGGCACGAAAGCGUGGGGAGCAAACAGG
rnacentral:rRNA from 1 species